UACGUAGGGUGCGAGCGUUAAUCGGAAUUACUGGGCGUAAAGCGUGCGCAGGCGGUCUGUUAAGACAGAUGUGAAAUCCCCGGGCUUAACCUGGGAACUGCAUUUGUGACUGGCAGGCUAGAGUAUGGCAGAGGGGGGUAGAAUUCCACGUGUAGCAGUGAAAUGCGUAGAGAUGUGGAGGAAUACCGAUGGCGAAGGCAGCCCCCUGGGCCAAUACUGACGCUCAUGCACGAAAGCAUGGGGAGCGAACAGG
rnacentral:rRNA from 1 species